UCGCUUGUUUGUUCAUUUAUUCGGAGCUGUGUGUGAUCCUUCUGUGUUUGUUUUAGUGAUUUCAAAUAUCAACAGCGUUUCUCAGAAAUCACUGAGUGUACCUAUAAGUACACAGUAUAAGUGGGCGUACUGAUGAUGAGUAUUGACAAUCCAAUAUGUAUUCUUUAUUUCUGGUGGCAUUUGUGUUUGUUUGUUUAUUUGUAGCAGUUUAAAAAAAAAAUGUAGGGUGAAAAUAUGCUAACACUUUAUGAAUGUCUUUUACUUCCCAGAUCAUGUAUGCCAGAGCUGUGUGGGUGGAGCAUGGUAAAGAAGUGGAGGGAACUGCACCAGACAACUGGAUUGAUGCUGAAAAAAAAUCAUUAGAUGGCCAAAAAAGGGGGAAAAGGCAGCUUUCCUCAAUCGGCACUCCCCUCAGGAUGACUGGAUGACGUUCACCUUGGUGAAGCGUAAAAUGACCUCCGGUAAGUUUUUGUUAAUUUAAUUAGAUUCUUUGUCAAAAUAAAAAUUGUAAGGCAGCCAAAUGAGAAAAAUCAAGUCAAACUUGGGUCAAUCUAGUCAAACCCGUAGUCAAAGUGAUAGUAAAGUUGUUUUUAUUGUAAUUGUAUUGUCUAUGAUUUAAACUUUACAGAUAGCAUUCGUGAAUGCAAUGAUUAUGACAUGAUGAGUCAUGUCGAGGAGGAAGAUGAGGAAGCAGGACCGAGGAAAAAAACUAAACGUAACUUUGAUGACUAUGUUCUUGAAUCUGACGAUUUGGAGGAGGAAGAAGAGAACAUGACAGAUGCCAUUAUCAAGGUGCCCUCCUUUCCCAUUCCACCAACAAAGGUGACAAAGUCCAU
ensembl:lncRNA